AGUUCAGGUGUUGAGUCUUGAUUCUAUUUCAUGGCUAUAACGUAUCUAGAGACAAGCCAGGAUUGAGCCCUGUCAAAUACUCUACCAUGGAAAUGCAGAUGUUAGACUUUCCCAUAACUAGUUAAUGGCGGGAGAUUAGGGGUCUGGCCUGAUACUGAUCACGUUACCAGAUCCAUCUCAUCCAUUUCCUAAGGCAGAGACAGCUGUGCCCACUUGGGUAUGUGAUAUACUUGACCUGGGAAGGACAGAAGGUUUGACUGUGCAGAUCCCUCAUCCAGACCAGAGCAUCUGCACCAGGUGUGAUGACAGCAUCCUCUGCAAGUUGUAAAAGUUGCACAGUGAUGUGGCUACAAUUUCUAGUACAGUGUUAAAAUAGAGAUGGUGAGAAUGGAUACCCUUGCUUGUCACUAACUGUAGGGGGAAAGCAUUCAGCAUUUCAGCAUCAGGUAUGAUGUUAGCUGCAGGUGUUUUGUUGAUGCCUUUUAUCAGAUUAAGGAAAUUCCCUUCUAUUCCUAGUAUGCUGAGUUUUAUCAUGAAUAAAUGUUGAAUUUUGUCAAAUGCUUUUUCUGCUUCUAUUAAAACAAUCAUGUAAUUUUCCUUUAUUCUGUUAAUAUGGAGGAUUUUGUUGGCCAGUUCUCAAAUCUCAAACCAUCUUUGCAUUCUGGGCAUAAACCCUAUUUGUUCACAAUGUAUGGAUUUAUUAAUAUUUUGCUAAGGAGUUUUCAUGUAUAUUCAUGAGACGUAUUAGUCUGCAGUGUUCUUCUCUUUAUCUUCUCUUUAUCUAGUGUUGGUAUUAGGGAAAUGCUGACUUCAUGAAAUACAUUGAGAAGUGUUUCCAACUCUAUUUUUUGAAAGAGUUUGUGUAAGACUGGUGUUAUUUUUUCUUAAAUGUUUGAUAGAUUAUGGUAAUGAAACCAUCUGGGCCUGGAGUGUUGUUUGUGAGAAGAACUUUGAUAAUAGUCAAUUUCUUGGGGCUGGCCCCGUGGCCGAGUGGUUAAGUUCGCGCGCUCCGCUGCAGGCGGCCCAGUGUUUCGUUAGUUCGAAUCCUGGGCGCGGACAUGGCACUGCUCAUCAGACCACGCUGAGGCAGCGUCCCACAUGCCACAACUAGAAGAACCCACAACGAAGAAUACACAACU
rnacentral:lncRNA from 1 species